rnacentral:tRNA from 1 species
GCCUGGGUGGCUCAGUCGGUUGAGCGUCUGACUUCGGCUCAGGUCAUGAUCUCACACUUUGUGGGUUCGGGUCAUGAUCUCACACUUUGUGGGUUCGAGCCCCGCGUCGGGCU